UUUGUCUCUCCCAGUUUUUCUUUCCCCUGGCGCAAGAACAGGCGAGCACCUCCCCUCCCGGGUGUUCUGUUCCUCUUCCUCAGUUUUUGAUUUUCUUCCUCUCUAGGGUUAGGAAAUUCUAUGGAUCAUUGAGUACUUGUACUGAGUUUGGAAGGAAAUGGAGGCCUGAUCCUCCUGUGCCCUCCGGGGUGUUUGAUUCAUCCUUUUUGCUGUGUUCCUUUUCUCUAGUGGUUUGGAUUUGGUUUUGUUCUCCGUGCAGAAGCUUUGGGUAGCUUGAUCUUGGGUGUGCGUGUGCAAGGAAUAAGAAGCAGACUCCCCCCUGUCCUUAGCACAUGAGCAGCAGCAGCAACGAGGAGACAGGAGGGGCACUGGCCUUUUGAUUUGGCGCCAGGCAGCAACACAGGGAAGGCCAGCGGGGCGCAGCAAGGAGAUUAGUUUUAGACUAGCAAGCCAGGCGUUUGUGGGAAACUCAAGCAUCAAUCUUUUUCCUUGCUCUGUGUACUGGUUGUUUGAUUUUGCAGGGAGAAGGGCAGUAUCCAGUGAGCACCAAUCGAACUUAGAUUGCAGCAGCCUCACUGCGCACACAAGGUGUUCGAUGAUUUGCUGCACUACAAUCAACAGUAUGUUCAUUUUGUCUUGACGAGCAGCAACACUAUGCAGGUAAUUAGCAGGCCACCGGAGAGAACGCGCUCGCUGAGGCCAAGCUCAAUUCAAGGUGGCGAUCAACGGGUUCGGCCGGAACUUCCUCCGGUGCUGGCACGGCCGUGAGGACUCCCCGCUCGAUGUCGUCGUCGUCAACGAACGCGUCCCACCUCCUCAAGUACGACUCGAUGCUCGGCACCACCAUCAGCGUCGACGGCAAGCCCAUCACGGUCGUCUCCAGCAGGGACCCAAGAAAACCAGCAGUUCAAGGGAGUAGUUCCGCAUUUAAUUGAUGAUGGUCUUUCUAUUUUGCAAUAUGCAGAUGACACAGUUCUCUUUAUGGAACAUAAUCUUGAACAGGCAAAAAACCUCAAACUUUUACUAUGUGCUUUUGAACAACUGUCUGGCCUCAAGAUUAAUUUUCAUAAAA